CGCACGGGUGCGUAACGCGUAUGUAACCUACCUAUAACAGGGGCAUAACACUGAGAAAUUGGUACUAAUUCCCCAUAAUAUUCGGAGAGGCAUCUCUCCGGGUUGAAAACUCCGGUGGUUAUAGAUGGACAUGCGUUGUAUUAGCUAGUUGGUGAGGUAACGGCUCACCAAGGCAACGAUACAUAGGGGGACUGAGAGGUUAACCCCCCCACACUGGUACUGAGACACGGACCAGACUCCUACGGGAGGCAGCAUG
rnacentral:rRNA from 1 species